CACAGAUGGCACAAGUCUUUCUCAGCAGCUGCUUGGAUCACCAAAUUUUAGCUGAAGGAAUCAGUGCUUUUAGUAUAUCAUUGUCCAGGAUGGUAAAUGUCACAUAAAAUGUGCCAUAAUACACAUGGCUCACCACCAGUUGCUCUUACCCACCCUACUUCAUUUGAAUUACAGUGAACUCAGCACCCCUGCCUUGGAGAUCUUGCAGAUUAAGCCCAACUAUAUGACUCCCACUGUAAGCUCAGCUUUCAACCUGGCCAAAAGUUGGUAAGGUGGUAAACAGGAGACAUAAGGCAAGUAGAUAUAGUUUUGUAUUGCUGUUCCUAGUCACUGUCAGCACCCAGAGAAGAGGUGACCGGCACAAGGCUGAUUUAAAAGCCAGUUUUCAAAAGGUUGUGUCAUGAUUUCUUUAAAUCCGGGCAAAAAUAAAUCAACCCCUGAAUUACACUUCUGUUCAGCUCCGAGGGCUGCCACCCUGCUGUUCUAGCUAUGUGGAAACUCAGGGCUCUCCUUCUGUUCUAAUAUUUUAUUUUCUGCGUCCUUGUUUUAUUUUUAACAGCUUACAACAGAAAAAAAAUGUGUUAUCGCCUGACUGUCUAAAGCAAAUAGUACAUUGUGGUUUUGGGCUUGGGCACUUGAACGUGUAACUUCCCAGCAACAAGUACUGUUCUCUCCGUAGGGCACUUCUGGUAACUCAUCUCUCCUAGUGAGAAGUAAGGAAAACUGUCACCUAGCGAGCAAAACAGCGAGUUCUUGCAGCCCUCCCAGCUGAGAAAAAGCAGAGGAACGACAGCAGGCUGCAAUUAUUAUCCGAGACAUAAUGCUGCCCAGAGAGCAGCAGGCCUCGCUGAUUAACACCAGCACUGGGCCUUGGACAACUGGGACAUGGUCUGACCUGCUAGAGGCUACUGUGCUUCCCCAGCCAAGUCAUUUCACUUUUCUGCACUUGGAUUUCCCACUCUCUGAGCUGGGAAGAGCACA